rnacentral:snRNA from 1 species
GUGCUCGCUUCAGCAGCACAUAUACUAAAAAUUGGAACGAUACAGAGAAGAUUAACAUGGCCCCUGUGCAAGGAUGACACGCAAAUUCGUGAAGCAUUCCAUAUUUUU